UUGGCACUUACGCUCGUUGCUGCGCUCGCUGCUACUCUCUAGGACAGACGACACCCUCGCAUCGAGGUUGCUGCCACACCUUCUGUUUGCGCUCCCUUUCUUCCUCCUUCUCUCAGCAACCUCCCUCGGAUACGAGGGCGGCGGCUCCGACAAGAUCUGAGGGACAUAGUGGUGGCUAGAGGUCUGGUGAACUCCUCCUUCCUCCAGUGAGCUCGAAGAUUGCGUUAGGAACAGGGGACAGGGGCGCGAUGGGGAACGGGACCCAAUGAAGGAACAGGGCGCGGUGGAGGACGGGGUGCCGUGGAAGAACUGGAUGCAAUGGAGAAACGGGGAGGGAGAACGCGGUGGGAACCGGGAAUAAGGGCACCGUGGAGAACAGAGUUGGGAGCGGAGGUGGAAAACAAGAUGCGGUGAAGGAACGGGACACAGUGAAAGAGCGCUACCUGGGACGUGCGUACGGACGCUCCCUACUUUGUUUUCUUUUUUCCAUGUCAUGCGGAUGGGAGCCUCAGCGUCAGGACGCGCUGCUAGCACCGGACGUCCGGGCGCUAGCAAUACCGUAGGUGUUGAUCGGAUCAGGAACAGCUCAAGGUGUUAAGACUUAAGA